rnacentral:tRNA from 1 species
GGGGUUGUGGCUUAGUGGUAGAGUGCUCGCCUCCCAAGUGUGAAGCACUGGGUUUGAUCCUCAGCACCA